CGAGGAGAAGCUCGCAUCCAGAGACGCAUCAGCAUCAAAAAAGCCCUGGAUGCCAAGAUAGCGCGGUACAAGGCUCCGUUCCACCAGCUUCGUAUCCAGUAUGGCACAAACAAAGGAAAGAACUAUACAGAGGAGGAAGACAGGUUUCUGAUUUGCAUGUUG